AGCAAGUAUGUAGAUGUUCAUAGAUCUCAUGCUGAGUUUAAAAAGAUCCUAGAAGAAAACAAUUUCAAUCAUGAUGAUAUUAUGAAGAAAUCUCUAGAGAAGGAUCUUCCUAGCUUAAAUGGAAGCUCAAAGAAGCGACAAAGGUCUAAAUCCAAAGUAAAAGAGGCUUCUCAAAAAAGAUCAUCAAAAAAGGACACAUCAGAUAAACCCCAGGUAAUUAAUUAAUUACCUUUAUACACCUGCCCAAGUGAGGCUGCUGCUAUUGGAGAAGUGGUGAGCUCUGAAUAGAUGUUUG